ensembl:lncRNA
CAUUUUACGUUUAUUAUGAAAGCGAUUUUAACAAAAGUUUUUUUAUUACAUGCUUCAUUUUGAGCUUUGACAGAGAAAUCAAAGCUAUUAAUAUACAGAGGCAAAAGGAAGUGUAUUUUCUUAAAGGUACAUUUACAACAACCUUUUCUACUACAAAUCUGACAGUAUUGUUAAAGUAUUGGUAAGGCUUAGACCACUGUAUUUUAUUUUCUAAGUAUCAAAUUUUGUACAGUUAUUCACUACCUUUGCUCUAAACUACCAUGGUACAUUUCAUAUGCAAAUAGCUGUUUGUACAUAAUUUACAUUGGUAAUAAAGCUUCCAAGUCCCAGCAGCAACUACAAGCGUUUAGUUCAAAAUGUCACUCUUGCCCAGUGAGUCACAUGGAGCAAAUCAGUACAGGAACCAGUAUUACAGUCCAGGUAUUCUCCCCCAAAACCUAGUCUACCAGAAAUCUCUGCUUAACAGAUGACGGACAUGAUCAUAGUGAAUUUUAUGUAGGUGAAGCUACCACUGACCUCAGUGGCAGUUUUGCCUAAAAAAGGCUCUAUGAUCUGAUCCAGUAUGAGGUUUUAUCACAUCCACUGCUAGCUGGAAGCACAGAUAUACCCUACAUUUCUUUGUCUUUACACUAUACUUGGGCAUCAUCCUUUGGCUUCCCUUUUAUUUCUGAGUUUUGUGGUGUUUCUUAUCCUAACAAUGGAAGAAGAACUAGUACUAACUUUAAAAUAUGUAUUCUUUAUAUGUUAUGAAAAUGGUAAGCACUUCAGAAUGACACUUGAUAGUCACUUCUCUGAAAAUCUGCAGGUUAAACUGCCCCAGAAAACUCUUCCUAUGAUGCCAGUGCGACUGCAGAAAUAAUUAGAGCAGUAACCUGGAAGGAUGAAUCUGGCUGCUGACCAUAUCCACCCCAGUCUCCUGCAGUACCUUUUUCAUCAUUGUGCUGAGUAUCUGCUGCUGUCAAUGCCAAUUAACGGCCUUUCUAAGGUAUAAAACAUAGAAAACAAUAUGUACAAAAUAAUUUUAAUUAAAAAAGAAACAAAAACAAACUCUAAAAAAGAUAUUUUCACAAUCAUUAAAAUAAAGUUUAAUUAAGCAAAGCCACUUCUUUUUCUAGAUAUUGAGAAAUUCAGCUAAAAUUGAAUUGCAAUCGUUUGUAUAUCUUUAAACUUGUUAUCUCUGCUUUCUGAAUACAGAUGGUUUAAAUUAUUACAUCUAAAGGUACUUCUGUACAUUUUACUCUUGUAUAUUACAUAUUAAUUUUAUAGAUUAAAAGCUUACUGAUGAAAAAGAAUAAAUAAAUGAAAGAACAAACUGGAAUUGUAUAUAUUCAGAUACUUAGAUAACAGGUUUUUGACAUUCGGAGUUCAUCUCCCAGUCUGUUUCUAUUCAGAUGAAAAAUGUUAUGGUAAAACGUGAGACCUCCCUGAAUCCAAGUCUCACAUUGAGGAAUAAGUUCCUGCUACCUUACAGAAAUUUCCUUUCUUCUGUGAAUUCUUACGGAAGACAACAGUCUCCCCCUCCCUGCCAAGUGCUUACAACAGUCUUGCAUCCUAGAAAAUGGUUUCAUUAAAGUCUCAAAGUACCGAGAGUCUAUAGAACUUCUCCAGUUACUACCAUCCCUGUCAAUCAGUGGUUUUAAACUAUGACAAAAAUGCACCUACGUGAACUCAUAACAGAGGUACAAGUAACUGCGUGUGUUGCUCAUUCCCAUCACUAGAAAAGGGAAAAUCCAGACCCCCAAGGUGGCUCAGAACUUGCCACUGGAUUCACUUGUUGAAGAUUUUACUACAGCUUCUUUUUUAAGAGCACUCAAAGGUAUUUAGAGUCCAGACAUGGGAACUGUCACAGAGCAGCUGGGUUUUGCUGGUAAAGACCGUCAGCGGUUCUUAUGUAAGAAUUAAACCACUGCUUUUGCUCCUGAAAUUCGUAACUUGUUAUCUGAAAGAUUAAAACUGGACUGUUCAUAGAUAAGACUGACCUGAGAAAUCUGGAUUGCUUGGGCAUGCUUACCAGCAGGCCACAGGGUGGGGUUUGGCUUUCCUCUUUGACUGUUUAAUGCAUGUAAGCACGUUCCUUGUUCAUGUGGCAUCAUCUUUGCGUUCUGCUUACAGACAGAGGGCUGCAGGUGGGCAGCUGACAACUAAGAAUGCAGACUCUGAAAACUCUGUGACCAAGCCUGUAUUUUUUUAAUCUAGUCUAAAAUAAUACUAAAACUAAACUAAAUCUAGCUUACUAGGUAAGCUAGUUUUAAGUAAGCUUACUUACUUUUAAGUAUACCCUAGUAUGAAGCUGGCAUAUAGGAAAGAUCAGUCUAAAUCUUUAAUAGUUAUAUCGUACUGUGAUUUAACUUUAUUCUAUGGGGGAGGCACAAUGAGGAAAUACAUUUCUUUUGAAAGGUUGGUCUUUAGGUAAAAAUCUAAUGUUUGCUGGGGAGGGGAAGGCAAGGCAAGAAAAUGGGCUGAAAGAAGACUUCAGCAGCUUUAAAUCCAGUUUUGGUGAGCAAAAUCUUGCUAUUGUGGGCAAGGUGCAGGUGGCAAGCCAUUGAACACUGAAUGCUGAUGCUUCCUGUACUCAAAGGACACACACAGGCACUUUGCCCACAGCAAUCACACAAGACUUAGGGCUUGAUUAGCAACUUCUGAUUGCUGCAGUCUCCUAGACCACAGCAGGUGCGCAGGCAGUGAUUUGGUGGCACAGGAGAAUGUUUAGGGAUGAUUCACCACCACCUCACUAAAAAUAAGUGCAGUAUUUAAAGCAGGAGGAGAUGCUUAAAAUUCUAAGUGCUACAGGUGCAGCUUUUAAGCAUACAGGCAUUUGCAAAUUGAAAAUAAAAAGCUCAUUUUGUGACGUGGAAUUGGGCAAUCACAAAUAGACACUUCUUCAGCCUUCCUGUAAUAACACAUAAAUGUGCUGUUGCACCUAUCCUGCACACAACAUGUAAUUCUAUAAGAGCAGACACAGGGCUGUAUUUAUUGAAUGUUUUUAAAUGCAAUAUUUAAUGUUUAGGUUAAAAGCCAAAAUUUUCUGCUCUGUGAUGCGUUGAUUCAUUUCACAAAGCUGGUUUUCUUAAAGGCAGCCAUAUUUCUCCUUUUAUGGUUUUUUGAUUCCCAAAUGUGUCUAGGUCUUCUCCACUGAAGAAGACAUUCCUUGUUGUACUGUUGUUUUAUAGUAGC